CGCGUAGGCGGUCCUGUUAGUCAGAUGUGAAAGCCCGGGGCUCAACCCCGGAAGUGCAUUUGAAACGGCAAGACUUGAGUAUGGGAGAGGGAAGUGGAAUUCCUGGUGUAGAGGUGAAAUUCGUAGAUAUCAGGAGGAACAUCUGUGGCGAAGGCGACUUCCUGGACCAAUACUGACGCUGAGGCGCGAAGGCGUGGGUAGCAAACAGGAUUAGAUACCCUGGUAGUCC
rnacentral:rRNA from 1 species